GGAAAAGAAUGCAAGGCCCACUGUGGAUCUUGUCUACCUGGAUUUCAGUAAAGCCUUUGGUACAUGUCCCAUGGCAUUCUCCUGGAGAAGUUGGGACCCCAUGGCAUGGACAGGAGGAAAACCAAAACAAACCAUGAAAACAAACUAUUAAAAGUCGUAACGGAAGCCAGAAGGAAUUCCACAUUGUUCUUAAGACCAUUUUGGCUAUAAACGGCAUCAUCACACAGAGCUGUUGCAUCUACUUUUCCCCUCUAUAACCUGGAGCAGAAUAUACAAAAUUUCACUUUGGAAGCAGACAGAGAGAUGCUGGAAGAGGAAAUGCCUAGUUCAAGGUUAGUGUAAUCUCACUAGUUUGGGCAUGAGUGAGAGUGAAAUAUUCACUCCCUGAACUGAAACGUCCAUCAAACUGUCGUAUGAAAGCAAUCUGAACCUACCUGUCAAGAAGAACAGAAAAAUUAUCAGGAUGACAGGGUUGUCUCCUGGUGUCAGUCAUUGAGUGGCUGUAAAGAUACUGGCUUACUACAAGAAGUAGAAAUAAAGCUGAGAAAACAGCCUAGCACAGCCACCUCCCUCACAAUUUCAUUGCUCAUGUAUCUUUACUUUGGUAGGGAUUCUCUUCAUUAAAUUUCCCAGCCCUCUCUAAUGAAAGAAAUAGUUUUAUGCACAGGAGAAUUAAAAAAACUUGGUUGUUUAACCCCGUUUGUGGGUUGUAAGACUUUCACUUCAGUGGAGGAACCACCUGUGAACUUUCCAUCUUCCUCCUAUCCUACACAACUGCUUAGUUAAUGAAAUGGAGGAUCAUUUAGACUUAACUCCUAUGAAAUUGAGGUAAGGCCAGACAAGAAGUUCAAAAGUCCUCUGGGGAUGAGUGACAUGGAGACAACAGGAUCAAAUAACCCUAUGCAGCAGUGUAUGCACAUCUGCACAAUUUUUUCUUGUUGAUCCAUCCUGGAUAAGGAGGUUAAAAUAGGGGAACACAUGAAGGACAACACCUGAAUCUUUUUAUUCUUUCAUGACAGCAAAGCAUGACAUAUCUGAUGAAAAUAUUAUUCAGCCAACAAUAAUACACAUGGCAAAAUGCUGUCAGACACAAUAAGGAAAUAUUAAAAAAUGCAACUUCCAAAUUAUCUUAAUUUUUCAAGGAAAAAGCCACUUUCUACAAUAAUAACCUCAAGUGAGACAUGCUAGGAGAUGGCAACAUAAACUUCAGGAUUAUCACGCCUCUGAUGUUCCCUGUUCAUAUCCAGUUGAGGACUCAGUGGUUCCAGUACCAUUAUAACAUUUUUUCCUCAUCUUUCAAGUGUUCUUCCUUUUUCUUUUAAUAGUUUCCAGAAACCAGGGAUAUUCUGACAUGCUAAGGUGACAGAAUGCUAUAGGUAACCUUGUUCAGCAGCAGAAUCCUUAAGGUCUAUCAACUUUUAAAUAUGUGUUCUUUCUUAACAGGAAACAGAUUCCAAACUAAGAGUUAGAUAACAUGUUAAGGUGUUAACUUCUUUUCCAUCCUGCAUUCUCUUCUGAGACCUAUUCUCACCAUGGACCUACGUUUGAAACUUGUGUGCAAAGCUGAGCUCAAGACCUGUGCUGCAAGACUUUUUCCAUGAUGUGUUGUGACAGAUGAAGAAUAAAAUCACCUUACUUUAAAACUAUAGUUCUGGAACCCUGUGCUCAUGCAACUUCACCUGCAAGGCAAAUCAAACAGUUUCAAAUUUGUUUUAGGAGUAGUUGGAUCAUUCAAACACAAAGCAGAAUGACUGAGAGAAAAUACUAUCACUUAUCUGGCCAACUUGAAGUUUUAAUGCAUCCCCACAAGCCCUGAUGGCAGUAAUUGUACUGAAUCCCCAGUAAAUGUAUUGAACAUCACGCAGUGGUCUUUAGGAAUGCAAGGAGCAGGCCUCAGAAGGAUGGAAAUAAGGUCUCUUGAGCGCUGGCCUAUCUCAUGCCCAAAACAAAUUUGGAGAGAUCUCCUGCUCAAUCUUUCUCAGAGGUCAACAACUUUAAAACCAAGUACACUUUCCAACUAAAAUCCUUCAUAUCCAGAGUUUUAAAAAUAUAUAUUAUGUUUAGAUUUCCUCUUAUUUCACAAUACUGAGGUGAUAUUAACACUUGAGUCUGUAGGUGACAAGUGUGGAAAGCACUGCAGUCGUCUCACGUAACACUUACAUUAUCAUAUACAUACAUAUAUCUGUAUUUUUAACCUUUAAGACUGAAACAAUUUAUCAUACACACUCCGAUUUUUUUUUUUAGCCUUCAAAAUAAGGAUUACAAAUAAAUCUUUGCUGAAGUUCUAGCAAACACUACUUGGAGCAUCAGUGAAACCUGCUGAAAUGUAGGACUGCACUCAUGCCACUCUGCAAUGCUAAUUUAGUCACCCAAUUGCCUAUUAACCCAUAGUUGAGCAACUCCAGAGUAGGGAACAUUUCAUGUAUAACAUGACUGCCCCCUUGUGCCGAACUAGAUCCCUUGCAUUAGAAGUAUGAUUUCUCAUGUCUUAAUAUGAAAAAACCCACUAAAGCAAGUAAUUAAGCUAGCUUCUUAAGCAUCAAAAUAGAGCUAUACAGUUCUUGUAACUGUAUGGAAAAAAAAGUAAGCUAGGGAUGAUAGAAAGCAGUUUGGAAAACAGCACUGCACAUCACCAAAGUGAGAGGAUGUUAAAUCACCUUCAUAUUUAUUAACAAUAUAA